GGGGAACAUUCCACGUUUUCCGCGCCGCAGCUAACGCAUUAAGUGCCCCGCCUGGGGAGUACGGCCGCAAGGCUAAAACUCAAAGGAAUUGACGGGGGCCCGCACAAGCGGCGGAGCAUGCGGAUUAAUUCGAUGCAACGCGAAGAACCUUACCAAGGCUUGACAUGUUCUCGAUCGCCGUAGAGAUACGGUUUCCCCUUUGGGGCGGGUUCACAGGUGGUGCAUGGUUGUCGUCAGCUCGUGUCGUGAGAUGUUGGGUUAAGUCCCGCAACGAGCGCAACCCUCGUUCCAUGUUGCCAGCACUUCGGGUGGGGACUCAUGGGAGACUGCCGGGGUCAACUCGGAGGAAGGUGGGGACGACGUCAAAUCAUCAUGCCCCUUAUGUCUUGGGCUUCACGCAUGCUACAAUGGCCGGUACAAUGGGUUGCGAUACUGUGAGGUGGAGCUAAUCCCAAAAAGCCGGUCUCAGUUCGGAUUGGGGUCUGCAACUCGACCCCAUGAAGUCGGAGUCGCUAGUAAUCGCAGAUCAGCAACGCUGCGGUGAAUACGUUCCCGGGCCUUGUACACACCGCCCGUCAAGUCACGAAAGUCGGUAACACCCGAAGCCGGUGGCCUAACCCUUGUGG
rnacentral:rRNA from 1 species